rnacentral:lncRNA from 1 species
CCGUUCCUCGCGUUGGUGUUUUAUGAUAUGAACCUGGGAAAUUACUCUGUUAAAUAAUGUAUUGAAAACCUUUUUGUAACAACGUUAAUAAAAUGGGUGAUUUUGAAAAGUUUUAAUUGUUUUGAAAUUUUGGACGUUACAAGUUGGUAUCAGAGCCUUGGUUUGAGUGAAUUGGGGAAACAUUCGUGUGACUCCAGUCUCAAAUCGAGGAGGAUUUUAAAAAGAGAAAUUAAAAUGAGAAAUUAAAAUGGUUUUCAAAUUAAGUAAAAGGAGGACGCGGAGGUACGAUCAGCCGGAGCCAGUAAGUAACCCCAAGAUACCAUACAUGAUAUUUGUUUAUUUGAGCUUGAUAGAACAGCAUGCUAGAGUUAGGCUAGGGAUCUUCAGGAAUUCAUGAUAAUGUUGCCUGAUUUGUGAUGCCUGUAGCCUAGGGUCCCUUAUGGGAUAUUCUCAGUGUUCCUCUAGUGGUGAGGGUUGAUAGUUGUUAUGCAUGUUCCCUAGGGUAUUGUGGUAGUACUUCAUACAAAUAUGGGUAGGUGUGGAAGGUAGUAUGGGCCCGUACUACUGAAAGCACAGGACCCAUACGCGUAUCAGGGAAACCAUGAUCUCUAGGGUAGGGUUGCGAGAGUUGGAUCCCAGGAUUGUGGGAAGUGUCUGAGAUUGGUAGGGUGUCUUCAGUAUGGAGAUUUCGAGGCAUGAUGAUAGUGGAUCCGGAUCAGGAUCGGGAGCUGGAGAGCGAGUUCCGGGUGGAUCGGUGCCGUCGGAGGUUAUCGAUCGGACGAGCACGAGCGAGCGGGAUGCGAGGAUUCGCGAGAUCCUGCGUGAUGAGGUUGCUGCAUUGUUACGGGCUGAGUCGCCAGAAUUGUUUGGGUCGAUCAGGACCGCCAUGGUUGAGUAGUUUGAUGAGCGAUAUGCGGCUCUCGCAGAGACGGCUGCCGCGGCAGUUACAGCGGCUGUAGCAACGGCAAAGAGAGGAGCUAGUCGGGGUUUUCAGUAUCGGGACUUCUAUUAUACGAAGCCUCCCACAUUCGAUGGAGUUCAGGACCCGAUUGUUGCUAUGAGAUGGUUAUCAGACGUGGAGGGGUGUUUCUCCACGAGUUUAUGCCCUGCUGAUCAGAGGGUGAGGUGUGCUCUGAACCUGUUGAGGCUAGGAGCGAAGGAUUGGUGGAGAUUGACUACGAGGUCAUUUUCCGAUGCGCAGAGGGCUGCGGUUUCAUGGGAUCAAUUCAGAGAGAUGUUCAGUACUCGCUAUGUUCCGCGGGAUGAAAAGGAGAGAUUGGCUCGGGAGUUCCUUGAGCUGAAGCAGGAUUUGGAGUCGGUGACUGAGAUCACCAGGAUGUUUAUUGAGAGGGCGAUGUUUUGCCCUGAGUUCGCUUCGGAGCAGGCUCAGAUGUCCCGAUAUCUGAGUAUGCUCAAGGGGGAUAUCAGACAGUUCGUGUCUGCGCAGAGGUGCGAGACCUUGUUGGAGUUGCAGGAGGCCGCCAUGCGGCGUGAGUUAGAGGUUGAGUUGCAGUUGCGUGAGCUGAGGCAGGCCCCGAUGCAGUCGCAGUCGGCGCCGAAACGGUCCAUGACCGUAGACGUUAGAAUGGGGGAUCGGAGCGGUCACACUUGUGGGAAGUGUGAGAGAGAUGGCACCGGAGCUUGUUGGCCCAGUGGUGCAUGCCGCAAGUGCGGAAAGGAGGGGCAUGGUGCACGGGAUUGUCGGCAGUCAGUGCCAAUUCGGGAUUUCAGGAUUUGUUAUCAGUGUCGGCAGGUUGGACAUUUGAGGGUCAACUGUCCACAGCUUUCUGCAGGACCGGUGCAGGCUCUAGCACCGGCCACCUUGAGGAGUUCAGGAGGAGGACAGGAUGGAGCAGAGCCCCAAGGGCUCAGGGUCGUGCUUAUCGGCUUGCGGCAGAGGGAGACGGAGCAGUGCCGGAGGCAGCUGCGGGUAUGAUGCUUUCUUGAUGUCUUGAUUGUCUUGCGUUGAUUGUGGCGUAUUGUUUGUGCUGGUAUCUUGUGUGGAUUUCGAUGCGGUAUUCGUUGUUUCGCGGGUUUGGCAUGGUUAUGGAUUGGUGCUUCAGGUUUUCGCUUUGGCAUUCGUUGUUCCCUGAUGGUUUGGUAUGGUUAUAGUUUGGUGUUUUGGUGCCGGUAGCCUUGUGCGGUUUUCGAUGCGGUAUUCAUCCUUUGGCAGGUUGUGGGUUUGGUUACGGGUUAUUGUUGGGAAUUCCGUUGGUUAUCGUUCGUGAGGGUUGUUAGUGGAGAUGCGGCACUGGGUUGAAUGUCGGGUAGCAUCUGCAGUCGUAGAGUGGAUAAUUGAAAGACCGGAUUCUUUUGAGUGGAUUGAUCAGGGAGGAGAUGUGUUUUGCUGAGGGUUGCUUAUGCUUGUGGGAAGCAGUCAGUGGGUAAAUGUUCUCUUUGUGCAGGAUGGUUCUGAAAGGUCGUUAAUGACGAUCGGUGGCAGUUAGUCAGUGCUUUAGUGGGGGAGAAUUGGAGAAUUCUCCGGGAGAUCGAUGAGUAUGUGAGGGUGCUUAGCUGUUGGGAUUCAGCAGUGUUUGUCAGCGCAGAGUAUAGGCCGACGAGAGCGAGUGUCGGGUAUGCGGGGCGGGAUACAGACCUAGGGCAUUUGAUUGUGGAGGCCUGAGAGAAGGCCGGGAUCAAGCUUGAGUAAGUAACCGGGGUUAUGCGAUCAGAGUAUUUGUAUGUUUGAGGUACGUGAUGGGUUGUACUGCAUUAAUCCCACGGGAUUAUGUUGUGCAUGUUUCUAGAGCUGGAACCGGAAGGUUCCCAGAGUUAGAACCUGAGGGUUCGCAGAGUUUGGGUGUACGGACCCACAGAGAUAUAGCCUCGAGUGGCUAGUAUGUGUUAUGAGAGUCGGUCCAGUCAUGCUGGAGACUCUGUUGGUAUUGCUGGAUCAGUUUGAGAUUGCGGAUCGUGUAUGUUGCAGUGUGAUUGCAUUGGAAGGUCUGGCCCCGGGUUAGUGAUCUUGUUUAGCUGAGGCAGUGAUUUUGAUGAGUGGAGAGAGUGCAUGGGAUUGAGAGCCCCUGCAAUGAGAACCAGAGUAUGUGAAUAGCGGUUACGCAAAAAGGGUGGUGUCGCUUGGGGCAAGCACCGUGGCACCGGUUGGAGUGGCAUUAUGGCCAAGAGGGUCCCUUGGAAGGAAAAGAGAAAGGUGUGUAACUCCGAAGGGGAGUGCAAGUUCACGAGAAUGAAAGCUGCAGAGCAGAGUUAUGGUUAGAGUAUUUCGAGUAUGCCUUCGAGCAUCGUGUUCGCGGCAGCGAAGUAGGAACCCAUCCGGUUUGGGAUGUCUGUUGAGGCUCAGAAGGGAUGCAGGGAGAGAGAGAAUCUUAAAUUCUCAGUGUGAUUCUGAUCAGAGUGUAGGGUGGAUGUAGUGGUUCAUCUUGGGAGAUGUUCGAGGAUAUCAUCAGUGUAUCGGGUCUUUCAACCUGCGGGUGUUGGGACUAGUUCAGUAUGUGUAUGUGAUGGCAAGAGGAAACCUUGUGAGAGUUGCUCUGAGAGUGAGAAUGGAUCUCUCAGUCGGUCCGGAAUGGACAAAGUGGGCUUUGGAUCGGGGAUCCGGUGGUUCAUGGUUUCCUAACCCUUAUGGGUCGAGUGAUCGUUGAGAUUUAGAGCAGAGUUGCAUCUUGGGUAAUUUUCGGUUACAGAGAGUGAUGUGCAGUACAGAGAUCGUGCUUCAGUCGACAGAGCAGAUUCAGCAGAUUAGACAGAGGUUAUUGACCGCCCAGAGCCGACAGGAAAGUUAUGCAGACAGACGCCGGUCCGAGCUUGAGUUUCAGGUCGGUGACUUCGUAUUCCUGCAGGCCUCUCCUUGGAGAGGAGUGAUUCGAUUCAGGAAGAGGGGCAAGUUGGGGCCCCGGUAUAUUGGACCUUUUCAUGUGAUUGCGGGGGUAGGCCGGGUGGCCUAUCGUUUGGAGUUGCCCACGGAUUUGAGACAAAUCCACGAUAUUUUUCAUGUGUCGCAAUUGAGGAAGUAUAUAGCCGAUGAGUCGGCAGUGGUUCCAUUAGAAGACAUUCAGGUGGAUGCGAGCCUGAAUUAUGCCGAGAAGCCAGUGGUCAUCAGAGAACGGAAGAUCGAGGUUCUGAGGAAUAAGGAGAUACCUCUGGUGUUAGUUCAGUGGCAGCACCGGAGGGGAUCGGAAAUGAACUGUGAUCUGGAACGUGAUAUGUGGGAGCAGCAUCCGGGGCUAUUUUCAGAGUGAGACUUCGAGGGCGAAGUCUAGUUCUAGUGGGGGAGAGUUGUAACAGCCCGGAAUUUCAAAUAUUGAUAUAAUUAUGAUUUUGGGGGUGUUUUAAGAGGGGACUCGGCGAGUUGGAGCCUAGACUCGCCGAGUAGGAUCGCAGACCGGGUCGCGGGUUCGCGACUGGACUCGACGAGUCCAGAUAUGGACUCGGCGAGUCUGCGCUGUUUAGCGAAAACCCUAACCGUUCAGGUUUGGGACGUAUAAGAGGGACUUAUUGGCCGUCAUUGUUCAUUUUAGCCUUCUGAGAAGAACCCUAAAUCGAUUGGGUGCAUCUGGAGCAAGGUUUAAGGGCCAUUGUUGAUCUUGGAAGAGUUGUUGUGCAAGGAAGAGAAGGGCUUGGCUAAAGGAACAGCAAGGGAGUCACGUUCUGAGGAUUUGGGGACACAGAGGGCACAUUAUUCAGGUAAGAAUUCGAAUUAUGCUCUGCUAUGUUGAUGUGUCAUGGAAUUAGGGUUUAUGGAACCCCUUUGUGAUUAGAUUAAGUGUUACCCUAGUCCCCCAAACGACUAUAACCCUGUAUUAGGACCUUAGAGGUCCAGAAGGUCCCAUGCUUGUGUAUUUCGGGACAAUACUUAUCUCAGGAAGCAGUUUGAUCGACUGCAUGGCAUGGACUCGACGAGUCCGAUGAACAGACUCGGCGAGUAGCUUGAAGAAUAACUGGGACUCGUCGAGUUGUUCUUCAGACUCGGCGAGUUGAGUCGGGGUGGCCCCGCGAUUCUUCCAGGAGGAACUCGUCGAGUAAAAAGGGGAUACUCGACGUGUAGAAAGGGAAUCUUAAGGAAUCGGUGAGUCAAGGGCGAGUGGACUCAGAGUCGUUGAACUCGGCGAGUCUUGGGGUGACUCGGCGAGUUAGGUCGCGGGUUAAGUGAAGUUCUGAGUAUGGGGACUCGGCGAGUCAUAGGGUUGACUCGGCGAGUAGGGUCAGUCAGGGGUUGACUUUGACCUUGUCUUUGACCAAGGAUUGACCAGUGGUUCCAGGGGUAUUUUGGUAAUUGUUGUUUAUUGUUUGAGUUCAGUGCAUUGGUGGUUAUCCAGAGGUGGAGAUCGUAUCAGUGAUCGGAGCAGCUUGAGCUAUCUGUUCAGUCGGCAGUUUCGAGGUGAGUUAUCCUCACUAUAUCGCUAGGGUUUAUGGCACCAAUGCCAACCCUUUUAUCGGAUGGAAAUCCGGGUAGUUGUCAGUUGUUAUAUGUUAUGGGCCGGAAGGCAAUACAUGUUAUGGGCCGGAAGGCAUUACUAUGUGGACCGGAAGGUCAUGGCCUGGAAAGGCGUAUGUAUGCAUUUAGUAUGUUGACUGAUUCAUAGGGUAAUGUUAUGAUAGUGACCGGCUAGACCGGUAUCUUGUUAGAGUAAUGCUAUGAUAUGUGAUCUGUUGAUCGAUUGUUGUCUAUGAACUGCUAUAUGAUUAUUUGUUAUGUUAUAUAUGCAUUUUAUGCUUAUGGGCCGGAAGGCGAUAUGUUAUGGGCCGGAAGGCAAUAUGUUGUGUGAUGGACCGGAAGGUCGGCGUGGGUAGGACCGGAAGGUUUACCCAGCAGGGACGGAAGUCCCCUGAGACACAUGGACCGGAAGGUCAGGGCCUGGAAAGGCGUAUAUGUGGUUGGUAUUCUGGGGGUAUCUCACUAAGCUUUCGGGCUUACAGUUGUGGUUUUAUGUUUCAGGUUCUCAAGAGUCUGUGGCAAGGCAAAGGCGUGAUCGUACCGUUCCUCGCGUUGGUGUUUUAUGAUAUGAACCUGGGAAAUUACUCUGUUUAAUAAUGUAUUGAAAACCUUUUUGUAACAACGUUAAUAAAAUGGGUGAUUUUGAAAAGUUUUAAUUGUUUUGAAAUUUUGGAUGUUACAAGUUGGUAUCAGAGCCUUGGUUUGAGUGAAUUGGGGAAACAUUCGUGUGACUCCAGUCUCAAAUCGAGGAGGAUUUUAAAAAGAGAAAUUAAAAUGGUUUUCAAAUUUAGUAAAAGGAGGACGCGGAGGUACGAUCAGCCGGAGCCAGUAAGUAACCCCAAGAUACCAUACAUGAUAUUUGUUUAUUUGAGCUUGAUAGAACAGCAUGCUAGAG